CCACGCCCGCUCAAGAAAACUUAAAUGAAUUGGACGGGGGCCCCGCACAAGCGGUGGAGCAUGUGGUUUAAUUCGAUGGUACGCGAGGAACCUUACCAGGGCUUGACAUGUGCCGGAAGCGCACCGAAAGGUGCGUGCCGCUUGCGGCCGGCGCACAGGUGCUGCAUGGCUGUCGUCAGCUCGUGCUGUGAAGUGUUGGGUUAAGUCCCGCAACGAGCGCAACCCCCUGCUGCCUGUUGCCACCACGAGAGGUGGGGACUCAGGCGGGACCGCCGGUGACAAACCGGAGGAAGGUGGGGACGACGUCAAGUCAUCAUGGCCCUUAUGUCCUGGGCUACACACGCGCUACAAUGGCCGGUACAGAGCGCAGCGAGGCCGCGAGGCGGAGCGAAUCGCUUAAAGCCGGUCCCAGUACGGAUUGGAGUCUGCAACCCGACUCCAUGAAGUUGGAAUCGCUAGUAAUCGCGCAUCAGCAUGGCGCGGUGAAUACGUUCCCGGGCCUU
rnacentral:rRNA from 1 species